rnacentral:tRNA from 37 species
GCGAGUGUAGCUCAGUGGUAGAGCGCAACCUUGCCAAGGUUGAUGUCGCGCGUUCGAAUCGCGUCACUCGCU